rnacentral:rRNA from 1 species
UACGUAGGGGGCAAGCGUUGUCCGGAUUUAUUGGGCGUAAAGAGCGUGUAGGCGGCUUGGCAAGUCCGCUGUGAAAACUCGAGGCUCAACCUCGAGACGUCGGUGGAAACUGCCUCGCUAGAGUCCGGAAGAGGAGAGUUGAAUUCCUGGUGUAGCGGUGAAAUGCGCAGAUAUCAGGAAGAACACCCGUGGCUAAGGCGGCUCUCUAGUACGGUACUGACGCUGAGACGCGAAAGCGUGGGGAGCGAACAGG